UGAGGGAAUAUUGGGUCAAUGGGCGCGAGCCUGAACCAGCCAAGUCGCGUGAGGGAAGACGGCCCUACGGGUUGUAAACCUCUUUUGCCGGGGAGCAACGCUGCGGACGUGUCCGCAGGUGAGAGUACCCGGAGAAAAAGCAUCGGCUAACUCCGUGCCAGCAGCCGCGGUAAUACGGAGGAUGCGAGCGUUAUCCGGAUUUAUUGGGUUUAAAGGGUGCGCAGGCGGACUCGUCAAGUCAGCGGUAAAAAUUCGGGGCUCAACCCCGUCCUGCCGUUGAAACUGCGAGACUGGAGUGCGACAGAGGAAGGCGGAAUGCGAGGUGUAGCGGUGAAAUGCAUAGAUAUCGCGCAGAACUCCGAUUGCGAAGGCAGCUUUCCAUGUCGUAACUGACGCUGAGGCACGAAAGCGUGGGGAUCGAACAGGAUUAGAUACCCUGGUAGU
rnacentral:rRNA from 1 species